rnacentral:rRNA from 1 species
UGAAGUUAUAUAUUAAUAUAGACAUAUAUACGUAUCGACUAUGUCGUAUAAAGUUCUAAAUAGAAGAUUGAUUAUGACAGAUUUCUAUUUAUGUGUCUCGACCAAUUCUUGUGCCAGCAGUCGCGGCAACACAAGUGAGACUAGUGUUAUUCAUCUUUAUUAGGUUUAAAGGGUACCUAGACGGUAUUUUCAGCCUGCAGAAGGAACAAAAAUACUAGAGUUUUAUUUGAGAGGUAGAUAUUAGGACAAUUGGUGUAAAGAUGAAAUUUUUUGAUAUCAGUUGUACGGAUAACGGCGAAGGCAAUCCUCUAUCUAUAAACUGACGUUAAGGGACGAAGGCUUGGGGAGCGAACAGGAUUUGUUACCCUAGUAGUCCAGGCAGAAAAUUAUGAAUGUUAUAGACUAAGAAAAAAUUGGUGUAUAAAUGAAAGUGUAAGCAUUCCACCUCAAGAGUAAUGUGGCAACGCAGGAACUGAAAUCAUUAGACCGUUUGUGAAACCAGUAGUGAAGUAUGUUAUUUAAU